rnacentral:rRNA from 1 species
CGGUGUUUAACUGGCGUGAUGUGGGACGUCCUACCGGUGGGCUUAGCCUCGCGAGGGGCGGCCCAACUAAUAUCCCGUCGCGGUGCUCUUUACUGAGUGUCGAGUCGGGCCGGUACGUUUACUUUGAACAAAUUAGAGUGCUUAAAGCAGGCUAUCCUCGCCUGAAUACUGCGUGCAUGGAAUAAUGGAAUAGGACCUCGGUUCUAUUUUGUUGGUUUUCGGAACCCCGAGGUAAUGAUUAAUAGGGACAGAUGGGGGCAUUCGUAUUGCGACGUUAGAGGUGAAAUUCUUGGAUCGUCGCAAGACGGACAGAAGCGAAAGCAUUUGCCAAAAAUGUUUUCAUUAAUCAAGAACGAAAGUUAGAGGUUCGAAGGCGAUCAGAUACCGCCCUAGUUCUAACCAUAAACGAUGCCAGCUAGCGAUCCGCCGAAGUUCCUCCGAUGACUCGGCGGGCAGCUUCCGGGAAACCAAAGCUUUUGGGUUCCGAGGGAAGUAUGGUUGCAAAGCUGAAACUUAAAGGAAUUGACGGAAGGGCACCACCAGGAGUGGAGCCUGCGGCUUAAUUUGACUCAACACGGGAAACCUCACCAGGCCCAGACACCGGAAGGAUUGACAGAUUGAUAGCUCUUUCUUGAUUCGGUGGGUGGUGGUGCAUGGCCGUUCUUAGUUGGUGGAGCGAUUUGUCUGGUUAAUUCCGAUAACGAACGAGACUCUAGCCUGCUAAAUAGGCGUACCUUAUGGUAUCGCGAAGGCCCCCGGCUUCGGCCGGUGGGUUUUUACUACCAACGUACAAACAAAUCUUCUUAGAGGGACAGGCGG